rnacentral:lncRNA from 1 species
ACACAACGCAGUAAUAAAACAUCAUCCCCAACCAACCACACAACCUUCAUAUGCCAUUUGUACCACAGGAAAUAUUAUUCACGAACACCGUUAACAAGAUCGAUCACAACCGUCCAAUUUCACCUCACUGCACGGUGAUCUCCCUCUCGGGCGGGGUCGCAGCAGCAGUCUCACCCUCGGUGGCGGAGGCGGCGAAGACCUUGGCGAUGCGGUCGGUGGGUACGAGGGGGAGGUAGGCGGACACGGCGUAGCCCUUCUCCGCGGAGUAGGAGACCGCGCGGUUGUAGCCCUCCGACAGGUGGGCCGCCGCGGGGACCACCACCCGCUGGGCCACCUGGGGGAAGAGCGGCAGCCGGUUCAGCGACCGCCAGGUCGACACCGCGCACCGCUCGGCCGCCGGCUCGCACCGCGCGCGGACCGACCGGGCGAGACCGGCCGCCGUCCCCACCACGCCGGAGCGCUGGACCUCCCCCGCCACGGACUUCACCGCCGACGGCACGUGACGCUCCAGCUCCUGAACCGAUUCCCCCACCUGUGAUCCCGCGGCACACGAACCCAACCAAAAUAAUAGCGUCAAUGUUACGACGAAUUCAGUCAAAAACUAAUGGUAAUAACAACAACGACAAUAAUAAUUAUAUAAUAAAAUAAGCAUAAAUUCGAGAAAGUCCGGUAAAGGUACGUAAGGCACGCUAGAGAUGGUUGCUAACGUGCGCCAGACGUUGCUAGCUUGCUCAAAAAGGAUGCAUAUUGCUAGAUUGCGAAAGAGGUCACAGGCUAACGUGCACCAACACCAUGCUAACUUGCGCAUCUAGGAUGCAGCAGGUCCAUCGUGCGCUGGCGCGAGAGGCAAUUGAUAGAUGCUAUCGUGCGCCGGCUACGAUGGAAGCGAAGGAAAGAACGCCAAAACGCCCGAUCUACAGCCCCCAAGGAGGCGCCGAGGACGGGGACACAAAAAGACACGCAUCCCUUAUCGUAGAACCAACAGGAUAUUUCGAGGGAGGAGGAAGAGAGGAGUGGGGGUGUGGGAAGGGGGAGGGAUACGGACCUUGCGAUCGACGAACUUGAGGAACUCGAAGGGGACGUCGUGGAACUUAUCGUAGACAGGGCCGACGACGGUCUUGACCGUUCCCUCCACCGUCUGGACGCCGGGCUUCAGCGGCCCCGCGUUCUCCUUCGCGUACUCGUACAGCGUCGCCAUGCACACCACCGCCUGCAGCGCCGCCACGUGCACCAACUCCAGGUACCUCAGCCUCUGCUCCUCCUCCGAUCUCUGAAAAUUCAAUACUCAACAACCCAUCAACAAAACAGAACCCUAAAAAUUCCCAAAGAAAUCAAAAGAAAAUAAAAUUGGAGCGGAGUUCUCACAAUCUGAUCCGGUUGGACAUUGGAUUCGGCCAUUUUGGAGUCGAUAUCGAAUGAAGAGAGGAAAAACCCGAGCAAAGAUGCGACCUUUGGGGAAGAAAUUGGGGGUCGAAGGAAGACUCUAGAAUAAUACCAGAUCUCUGUUUAGAAUUAGGGGCAAUGGAAAGUAGGGUCGGCUGGCGUUUCUUAUAGGCAAGGCAUUCUCUCGGCCGUUUGAUGUGAUCUCCGAUCGGACGGUCACGGCGAGCAGUCGUGCGCGGCGCCACUCCAUUUGGUAGACGGUUUGACGACUUCGAGGCGAAGGAAUUUCAAUUUAAUUUCAUUUGAAUUCCUAUGCGGAACUCGGCUGAUUCCAUGGCCGUACGAAAUUUCUAUACAAACAUAAGAUCGACCGUCUGGUUUUACGUGGGGAGAUUAUCUAUCCGUCCAUCUGUCAAGGGACGCAUAGAAGUGUGUACUGAUGAGGACGGGCACGGAUGGGGGGCUCCUUGAGUUUUCCCACCGCAAGAUCGUAUGUGACACGUGUCAGAUGACGAGUGGAGAUCUGGCGGCAGUCGGCUCCGGGGCCUUCCAGAGGAGGAGAAAUUAUUGAAACAAAAAUGACAUAAGGUGGGCACCAAGAAAACAUGGGAUGGACUUCCCAUUUUAUCAUAUUUUAUCUAUCGUCGAUCUUAAAAUAGAAGUUGAAAAGCCUCCAUGGAUACAUAUGUUACAGCUAGAUAAUACAAGCCAAAUAAAUAAUUUAUUUAUUAAAUUAAUAUAUAUAUUUGGAGAUAUAAUUGAUCCGAAUCGAAUCGAAUAGUUAGAAAUUCGAGUUCGACUUAAUUCAAAAUAUUUAGACUUAAAAUUCAUCUCAAAUUUAUUUAAAUUUUAAUAUCUUAAGCUCAAUUCAAUGAAAAAAGAUUAAUCUCGAUGCGACUCAAAUACGACUCAAAUAUUAAAAUAAAAUUUUUAUAGUCGGAUCGAUCAUGAAAAAAAUUAUGAUCGAACCGUCAUCGUCUUCCACAUGCAUUUAUUGGGACAUUCAUAAAAAAAGAAAUGAUUAUGUAAUAUGUCACGUCCCCGACCCGAAAUUGUGAAUCGAGAAUCAUGGCAACCGCCGCAUACUUAUGAAGAACUCUCUCCAUAAACAUGCAAGGCAUCUUAUCACGAUAUCAAUGCAUCACAAUGGAAUAAAUUCAAAAUAAUUAUUAUUAGACUUUAAUUCAAGUAAUUAAAUCAAAUGUCUUACGUCCAAUAAAAUUUUACUAAAACAAUAAAUCUAAGUUCAAUGAAGUUAACAAUGCUAAAUUUCGCCUCUAAAAGCUCUGUCUCAAUAUUUCUUCCCACGCUCGAAAUUAAUUAUCUGAAUUUGAAAAAUAGAAANNNNNNNNNNNNNNNNNNNNCCCCCACUGGCGGGGUCCACAAACACCAGCGCACAACCCCCACUGGUAGGAUCCACAAACACAGCGCACAACCCCCACUGGUAGGAUCCACUGAGUACCAACGUAUAAUCCCCAUUAGCGGGGCCCACUGAAACAUAGUUAGACUGAGAGCAUAAAUUCGAUCUGUAUUAAAAUACUUUGUAUCAUAAUAUAUCAUAAAUAAUUCACUGAACAUGUACAUAAUCGACAUACCAUAAUAUUUCAAAAGUACUUUCUUUCAAAACAUAAUUCAUAAUUCAUGCAUAAUUUCAGAGAAUAAUUAUUUAUUUUCAGAAUAAAUAUGAAAUAUCUCGAAAAGAUGAUUCAUUACUUACCUUUCACGGAGCACUGAAUGAACAGAUCGACUAACUUCGAGGAGAUUCUUCAGUGCCUAUUAUCCAAAAUUAUAUUUUUACAUUAAUUUUAAUUUAAAAUUUAAUCUAAAUAAAUCCCAAAUCAAGACCUCACUUAAAAUUAGACUCCUCCCUAAACUCGAUCAAAAUCAUCAAAUGAAGCCUUACACUAUGCUAAUCCUAAAGGAAUAACUUUAGAGAGAGAAAAAUUCAUCAAGAGAGAGAAACAACUUAGAGAGAAAAAAUUCUAGAGAGAGAAAGUAGAGAGAGAAAGUCCAAUUCUAGAGAGAGAAGGGUUCAGACUGAAGAAGAGAGAGAAGAGAGAGAAACUCUCUCUCUCAUUUUUAUUUAUUUAUUUAUUUAUUAUAUAUAUAUGUGUAUAUAUAUAUAUUUUAUUAUUAUUAUUAUUAUUAUUAUUUAUUAUUAUUUUAUUUUNNNNNNNNNNNNNNNNNNNNNNNNNNNNNNNNNNNNNNNNNNNNNNNNNNNNNNNNNNNNNNNNNNNNNNNNNNNNNNNNNNNNNNNNNNNNNNNNNNNNNNNNNNNNNNNNNNNNNNNNNNNNNNNNNNNNNNNNNNNNNNNNNNNNNNNNNNNNNNNNNNNNNNNNNNNNNNNNNNNNNNNNNNNNNNNNNNNNNNNNNNNNNNNNNNNNNNNNNNNNNNNNNNNNNNNNNNNNNNNNNNNNNNNNNNNNNNNNNNNNNNNNNNNNNNNNNNNNNNNNNNNNNNNNNNNNNNNNNNNNNNNNNNNNNNNNNNNNNNNNNNNNNNNNNNNNNNNNNNNNNNNNNNNNNNNNNNNNNNNNNNNNNNNNNNNNNNNNNNNNNNNNNNNNNNNNNNNNNNNNNNNNNNNNNNNNNNNNNNNNNNNNNNNNNNNNNNNNNNNNNNNNNNNNNNNNNNNNNNNNNNNNNNNNNNNNNNNNNNNNNNNNNNNNNNNNNNNNNNNNNNNNNNNNNNNNNNNNNNNNNNNNNNNNNNNNNNNNNNNNNNNNNNNNNNNNNNNNNNNNNNNNNNNNNNNNNNNNNNNNNNNNNNNNNNNNNNNNNNNNNNNNNNNNNNNNNNNNNNNNNNNNNNNNNNNNNNNNNNNNNNNNNNNNNNNNNNNNNNNNNNNNNNNNNNNNNNNNNNNNNNNNNNNNNNNNNNNNNNNNNNNNNNNNNNNNNNNNNNNNNNNNNNNNNNNNNNNNNNNNNNNNNNNNNNNNNNNNNNNNNNNNNNNNNNNNNNNNNNNNNNNNNNNNNNNNNNNNNNNNNNNNNNNNNNNNNNNNNNNNNNNNNNNNNNNNNNNNNNNNNNNNNNNNNNNNNNNNNNNNNNNNNNNNNNNNNNNNNNNNNNNNNNNNNNNNNNNNNNNNNNNNNNNNNNNNNNNNNNNNNNNNNNNNNNNNNNNNNNNNNNNNNNNNNNNNNNNNNNNNNNNNNNNNNNNNNNNNNNNNNNNNNNNNNNNNNNNNNNNNNNNNNNNNNNNNNNNNNNNNNNNNNNNNNNNNNNNNNNNNNNNNNNNNNNNNNNNNNNNNNNNNNNNNNNNNNNNNNNNNNNNNNNNNNNNNNNNNNNNNNNNNNNNNNNNNNNNNNNNNNNNNNNNNNNNNNNNNNNNNNNNNNNNNNNNNNNNNNNNNNNNNNNNNNNNNNNNNNNNNNNNNNNNNUUAUUAUUAUUUUAUUUCUUUUCUUUUCUCUUUUUUUUUCUUCUUUUUCUUUUCUUUUCUUUUCUUUUUCUUCUUUUUCUUCUUUUUCUUUUCUUUUCUUUUCUUCUUCUUCUCUCGAGCUCCUUCCAGGCCGAACAGGGGUCCGGCAUGACCCUUCCUUGGGCCGGGCCGUUCAGGCCACGGUCGUCGCGGCAGAGACCGAUGGUAGAGGGGGGGGUCACUCCCCCGAUUCCGGAGGAGCAUGACCGGCGGUCGAUUGCGAUCGCCGGCGCCGGCAAAAUCCAAGAGAAAAGAGAUCGAAACAGGGAUCUCUUUUCUGACCAAGAAUCGGCGACUCCCGUCGCCGGCAGCCGCGCACAAAGGCACGGGAGAAAGGGGAAGGAAGAGAGGAAGAGAAAGGGAACUCACCUCGGCCUCCGAUGACCUCGUCGGUGAGCAGUCACGGCGAGAACAAGGCGGGUGUCCGCGGCUCUAAUUCAAAAAAAUCGGAGAGGAAGAGAGGGAAAAAGGACCGAUGAUCGGCUUCUAAGGAAAGGGGAGGUCUUCUUAUAGAGGGCCCUAGGACUUUGAGAGGUCCUAGGACUCCCAAUUUGCCCGGAUCUCGCCGGAGAAGAAGACUCCUAUCGGGAGUCUUCUUCUCGAUUUUUUUUCUAUUUUUUUUUUUUUGAAUGGGCUUGGGCUAUGACAUAAUAUUUAUCUAAACUGUUUAAAUACUCCUAGAGUUUAUCUACUCUUUUUUUUUUAAUAUUUUAACGUAUGCACAUAAGCACACACGUGGCCACCCAUCUUUUGAUGGAUGUUCUCGAAGUAUACCCAACCAUAAUUUCUUCCAUGAUCGGCCCGACUAUAGAAGUUUUAUCCCAAAUAUUAAUCAAGCCAUACUUGAGCUCAAGUUCAAAUUCGAAUUUAAAUCUUAACUUCCUAAUUAUAUAUAUAUAUUAUAAAUAAAAAUAAUUUGAUUAAAAAUAUAUAUGAACUCGAAUAAGCUUGUGAACUUUCAAACUGAAUAUCUUACUGCUGGAGCUCAAUUUGAAAAACUGUUUGAGAUCUUCGAGCUUGAUAAUAACCGAGUCGAGUCGAGUUCGAAUGGCUCGCAAGUACCACAACUUGUUUUGCACCUCUACAUAUAUCUAUAUAAAUUGAUACAUAGUUUUUAAAAUAUCGUAUUUACCGAUAUAUAGUGUGUGAUCAAAUAAUAUACACUUAGUAAUUUAAUGAUCUACUAAUCCAAUACAUACCUUUAAGCAAAUUAAUACAUAAUUUUUGAAACAUCAUGUUUACUAAUACACACUGCAGGGCCGAGUGAUACAUACUUAUCGACUUCUUGAUAUACCAGAAAUUUAUUUGAUACAUACUUAAUAGUGAUUUAAUAUACAUCUUUAGAAAAAUCAAUGUAUAGUUUUCAGAAUAUACUUUUUAUCAAGAGAUGUAUAUAGGAUCACUAUCGGAUAUGUAUCAAAGAACCUUGUGGUAUGCAUUAGGAACUUGACAUGUAUGUAUCACUUGGUUAUAUAGUGUAUACUGAUAAAUAUGAUGUUUCAAAAAUCAUGUAUCAAUUUAUUUGAAGGGUAUAUAUUAGGUUACUAGAUAACUAAUUUAUUAAGUACAUAUUAUUUAGCCAUACAUUAUGUAUCAAUGAACUUUAUAUUCUGUAAAUUAUGUACUUAUUUAUCUAUAGAUAUGUAUUGAUUUGCUUGAUGAUGAAAUUGCUUGGUGUAUAUCACUUGAUUAUAUAGUAUAUAUCGAUAAAAGUAUAUUUUGAAAAUAAAAAAGAAAGAGAAUGUCAUACUUUUUUUAAUCAAGAGACUGACAACUUAGUAUAAGAAGUUUUUAAUUUUAAGAUGGAUAUUAGAAAAAAUAUGGCAAAAUUGAAUGCCUGCACUCGGGGGUGGCAAUUUGUGUUCAUGUGUCAAAAUCGUGUCGAUACGAUUUUGACAUGAACACGAUUAUAGAGAAUACGAAUAUGAUACGAUUAAUAAAUAUGUCAGAAUUUUUCAACAUGUAUACAAAUUUGUUUAUUAAAUAUGUUACCUGUUUAGCACGAUUACUAAAUGUGUCAUGUCGGGUUAACAUGUUUACAUAACAUGUUUAAUACGAAUAAUCUAUUUUACAUAAAAUAUAUAUUUUUAAUGAAUAAAUUUGUUCUAAUAUGUGUAAACAAUAUAUUCUGCACAUAUAUAAACAACAACUAAGCAAAUUACAACUCACACAAAUAUCAUAUAAAUGUACAAUAAUAAUCAAGAUUAAAAAAUAUCAAUAAUAUAAUAUGCCAAUAAAGUACCAACUAUAAUAAAUAUCAAUAAUCUAAAUAAAGAUAUCAGCAACAAAGGAUGAGAGAGAGAGUUGAGUAUGGUGGCUGUAUAUGGGGUUGAUAUGUUUAUUUAGUUUUAUUUUAAGAUUUCUAAUAAAAAAAUAAAAAUAAUCAUUGAUUUUGUAGAAAAUUAUAAAAAAAUUAUAUAGGUUAAACAUAUCAUAAACGGAUUUACAGGUUAACAUGCGAUACGAUACAAAAUUCUUCAUGUCAUAAAUCGAUCGACACAAACUUGUAUAAGCCCAACACUAACACGAAUAUUUCAUGUCGUGUUGUAUGUUGUAUUGAAAAUUGCCAUCCCUAUUUGCUCCAUUUUUCCUUUUAUGGUGCUCGCCCCAUAUGAUUUUUGUGUGCAUGGUAUGAUCAUCCAUGCAUGGAAUCAAUCCGCUGAUUCUCAUGAUGAUGCAUUAUGUACAUACUUCAUGGAUGGGCCCCAACUCUUACUAGCUAUAUGCAUGAUCACAUGGUGCAUAUGGUGUAGACAAAAACUUUAGGUAAAUCCAAUCUGGGACAAACCAUACUCUACAUCAUAUGCACCAAUAUCAUUAUGCACUAUAUCAAUUAACUCAUCUUGUUCAUACGGUCUUUAUUUAUCAUAAGCUCAUCAUAGUGAUUGGUAGCUUAAAGUAUAGUAAUUUAAGAAUUAUUUUAGAGGAUCACAUUGUCUAAGUAGCAAUUUGUCACAUGAUUUUGGUAGGAUUUCAUCAUAUUAUUUGAAAUACAGAAAUUUGUGAUAAACAUUAUAAAAAAAGUACUCUAGACAUAGCAUCACAUUAUUUUAAUAGCAAUUACUUUUGGCAAAUAUUUUCUUCCAUGAGAAUAUAGAGGGUGGAAAUUAGGUAGUCUUUUGGAAUAGUUCAUCUGCUAUAUAUUAAGAAUAAUAAGAAAUACACAACAGGAUACAUCAGAUGUUUCAGUUCCAAUAAUACUUGUUAGACCUUAUGCCCAAAAAAAUAAAGAAUUAUAAGCCUUAGCUUAAACUUGCUACAACAUCCGAUAGGAAUACGUUUUUCCUUGCCACAUCACUUUAAUAGCAUUGUGUGCAAAUAAAUAAUGACAUGAAAUCACCGCUUACAACAGCAUUAUGUGCAAAGAGGCUAAGAAAAAGUUAGCGCAUUCAUGAAAGCAAUGGUUACAACCUCAUCAAAAUUUUCACCUUUCAACUAUGCAAAAAAAUGGGAAAGGAUCUUAUUGAAGUUCUGAGAUAAUACCUAAACAAAGAUUAUUGGAAUAGAUGAUGUGGCAAUUUUUUAUUGGAUGAUCCAAAGUCCAAAUGGUAGAAUGGUUCUAACCAAUAAUUUCUCUAGCAGUUUACCCUUCUCCAUUGAAAGAGAACCUUUGUUUACUUGAAUAACUUCCACCAUAUAAAGCAGUGACUGUCAUAAAUAUGUCUAAACUAAGAACUCUAUACAAUACAUAUUGCAGUAAAGCAAUAUUUUGAUACACAUUGAUGUGUUUCUUCUAAGUAACACCUAAAACACAUUGCAAUAAAGCAACUCUAAGCUACCUACUCAAGUCAAAGAAAUGACUAGUACUAGAUAGCAAACUUAGAAAGCCAUAUUUUGGAUUGCAUAAGUCAAUUAUGUUGAUAUAUAAUGCCAUUAAUUGUAGCACACACUUACUUUGACAUAGAAAACUAAUCUAUGGCUUGUAAAUUGAUGCAUAUCAAGGAACAUAAAUUCCAUGCUAAAGCUAGAGACCCAGUCACAAAGUGCCAGUUUAGAAAAAGGAACCAUGAUAAUUCAUUGUAGGUAUACAUGCUUGUGGGGACAUAGAAGUAGCAUCAAUAAGAUUAUUCACAAUAUCGAAUGAAAUAUUUUGAUCAUGAGAAAUGAGGGUUAAAAAUGGAUUGAAAAGGGCAAGGGUUACAACUUUGGGUAAAACAGCAAAAACUUGGCAGCAGAGGAUACAGUUAGUUGACCAUAAAGAUACCAAAUGGGAUCCCUUAUACCACAACACAUUGGAGACUCAAAGCACAUUUUACAUGUCAAAUCUCCAAAACCCCCUUUUCUGGCAAUAAAUUGCAAACCUUUUUUACAGCAAUGGUGACAUGCAGAGCUUUACAGAAACUUCUAUAGAAAGGUGAGAAAAUAUUACUUGCAACUGCAUACAUUAUGGAAGAUCCUCAUGCAGAGAAUGGCCCCAUGAUCCUACACACACACAAAAAAACCAAUGAACAAUAAAGCUUGAAUUAUAACUAAUCUGAUAAAAAAAAAAGGUACUUUCUGAUCAAAUUUGACAUAUACAAACUUUCUAAUUUGUCGCACUCAGUAUCUUAAUACAGUUAAUGAAUAUCCAACUAUAGUUCUGAGCUUAAAAGUCAAAUUUAACUCUCCUAAAAAGUUGAGGAAUUUUAUGCAUAAGGACAGACUUAGAGGCUUAUGAUAAGCUGGCAUAUGUAUUCGCAGAGUCAAAUAUAUCCUAUAAAGCAUCUAAGAAAUGAGCAGCUACUUAAUAUUUCUUCUAGGGGUAAGGAACAUAGACACUCUUAUCCAUUGCGGACAUCCAAAGAGUCAUGAAGAUAUUAUUUUAAAAAUUUUGAGGAGAUGACGUAAUAUCAGUUAAAAGAGCCAAUAUUGUUGGUAGUUACUAAAAUAUCCACCAUAGCAUUUAGCAUAUAGAAGUUCUACAAUUAGCAGUAACAGAGUAGAUGAUACAUGUUGGAGUAAUUCGAUCUGCUUCUCCAAUUCAUAGUCAGCCAACUGAUGAUCUAUCGGUUGCAGGUGAUGGACCAUCAAAGCUACACUAUAGGAUGAGUUUCACCCUAAUUACAACACAUCAUCUGACUUUCAAUCGGUUUAAUCGGCACAGAUUACAGACUAUCAACUGAUAAGUCGACUGACAGUCGGCAACUCUCAACCAAUUUUUUUGGCAGAUACAAUUUAACUAUAGUGACUCUACUGACUUCAAAAUCGAUGGUCAGUCGGUAUAUCAGAAUCUUCAACAGAUGGUCAUUCGAAUUUCUAUAAUUGCCAACAUACAGUUAGCGCACUCAGAUUAGGGACAUAAAGUUGGUAUAUUAGAAACUGUCAACGCAGGAAGUACAUAACGAUCACAUACCAUGAUCAAUAAUGGACAUUAACUACCCAUCCCAUGAUCAUAUAAUACCUGAACAAGUGAGACCUACGUGUCUAACCAUUACAAAUAGUUACCAACAACUCAUCUAUAAAAGAAAGGUAAAUGAACAGUAUUGAUAAGGUUCUUUUGGCCGGGCUAAUAUUUUACCACUUUGAAUAUUCUAUCUGCUGUUCACUACUCCCACUGAUUUAAGCAUCGGAGGAUUUUCGUCGGACACAAUUUCGAUCUGUGGACUUUUUUUGCAGGUUGUUCUUCGUUGGAGCUAAAUGCAAUAGAGGAUUGACCGCAACAAUACCCAUCUCCUUCAACAAAUAUAGACUGUAAUUGAAUUUAAAUAAAACAUAAUGAAGAGUUUUCUCGGAAGAUCCUGUCAUUGAUAAUAUGUUUUGUACUAAAAUUACUUUCAAAAGUAAAAAGGGACAUAAGAAUGGUAAAAACAAGUGACAUAUCAAGUUAAAAUGAAACUUAACAAUGGAAGUUGGCUACAUGGGUAGAAACAAUUACAAAUGAAAAAAAAAAAAAGACACCAGAUUUAGUGGCAGUAUUUGUAAUCUGGUGAACAGAGCCCAUGAUCUUUGCCCCGAGUGAUUGACUAAUUUUUAUGAACAAAGCAGAGCCAAAGAGAGCAGCCACCGUUACUAAAGCAAUAUAAGCAUCUUGUUAGUAAUAAUAGAUUGUCAAUUAAUCAACCAGACAAAAUUGUGAAAGUGAAACAUAGUUGGUAAAAGGACAAAAGCAUAUGUAAGAAGCCAUAACCAUUUGCUAAGGAAUGGAGCAAUAACUUUAUUUGCUGCAAUUUAUCCUUUCUACCUUUAAUAAGGAGAUUAUAAGAAUUUUUCCUUCACAUUUGGCAUCGAAGAUCCUCCAGCUGCAGAUUGUUGGUUAGCCAUCCAUCUUUGGAUCUCUAAAUGCAGCUUGGGUGUCCAAUAAAACAGCUACACCUUUACAUUGUAAACGAUGAAGGAUGACUAAUAAAAUAAUUAGAGCCUAUCUCCUUCUGGAGUCCAAAUAAUAAUGGUAGCACUUUAGUUCAACACAUUUUUAGUACACCAUUUCACUUAAUAAUUGGUCAAACUCAUAGCUCAAUUAUGACUUGUCUUGUUAUGCUGGGUCAGAAAAAUCUAAUUUAGCUCAACUCUCGAGUCAAAUUUCAGGAUAAUUUUAAUGUUGAAUUUAGGAUUCUAGAUGAAUAUCAAAUUCCUUCAAUGCAAACUCAUUUUGCAUGCAUGGCAACAAAAGGUAUUAUCAGAUUUGAAUAUUAAAAUUUGAAAUCGAGUUGAAAUAAAUUUGAAUGUAUUACAUAUCUUCUAUCACAGCAGCAUUAUAAUCUCAGCUUUUAUCCUAACUCAAAUUCUAAUCCUAAUUAAAGUCUCGCAACAAUCAUAAUGUUGAACCUUAUCUAAGUUAGACGUGCCAAUAGCUUGCAUUACAAAUUUAAUGAUCAUCUUACCCUCAUGCUCAAAGUGGAAAUAAAGCAAGUCCAACAAGCAUAACAUCAUUUAAAUUCCAUGAAACAACGCCAGUUUCAAAUAACACAUUGAGAUACAUAGCAUAACCAUAAAGUGCACUCGAGGGCUCACACUUCAUGCCAUAGGUGAAAAACCACCAUACUUCUUUGAUUUGAUCUUUUAUUGCAUGCACUCCUUGGGGUCCCAUCAUGCACCACUAUAAAAAGAUGUGUAAGAUGAUGUUAUUUUAUUUUUGUAUUCUUUUUGAACAAGCACGUUUGGGCCGCCACCUUCGAAGAUCUAAUCUCCAUCCUAUUUGCUAGAGAUGAUAAUAACAAUUAGUUGAUCUUAGGCUUGUUGGCUAAAAACAAACAAUCUAUAUCUCUCAAAAUUUGAUAAUCUUAAUUAUCUAUGUUGAUAGAAUAAUUGUGAACAAAAAUCAAAUUGUGUAGAUCAAUCAUAUAAUGAUAAAUUAAGAAACAAAUAUAUCUGAGAGACAAAUAUAGUGGUACAUCAUUAUGAUUAGAGCAUAAAAUUCUGUGAGAUCUAAUCUAGGCAUUUUAUUAGCAGUUUGUUUAUCCUCAUUAAAAUUGUUUGACUCUUACAGUAUAUCAUUUACUAAUGUCAAGAAUUAUCCAUGAUAAAUAACAAGCUCUAUCACUCCGUAAGUUUUUGGUAGCGGAUGCUAUGUAUAUAUGCAGACUAGGUUUGUGAGGAUGGCUCAUAACAAAUAAUCCUGUAACCUUUUAAAAGUCAUCGCUUUUUAACCUUUUCCUACACUCAUCCAAAGAUAAAAUUCAAAGAGAAAAAACUCCUUAAGUCUCUGUUCUAUCUACUUUAGAGUAAGUAAAGGAGAUCGCGACUAGAUUAUGAGAAAGAUAAGGUGGUGAGCGGAUGGAGGCUAGACUCAUAUCUUGAGAUGAUGCGACUACAUGCAUGAGGAUCUCGUGAACUUCCGACAAUGAUGUAAGUCCGUUCAUUUCAUCCAUUUACAGCACAUCAAUUUAUGAGAAUUUUUAUGCUUCUGUUUCUUGUAUUAUGAUUUCUAAACAUUCCAUUUUAAUCCAAUAAAUCAAACCAGCCAAAACAAACAAACUCUACCUCCAAACAAGGCCUACCAUCCACAAAUAUCCCUUGUUUCCCCCUCUAUAACAACCCAUCCCGCCUCUCCCACCCCCAUCCCCUUUAAGCUGCCUUGGGCUCUCCAAGGGUGGUGCUCCUCCUCAAACUACCCAACAUGGAGGCCUUUGGCCGCGCUAUACCCCUCAUCUUUCUCCUCCUUUUCUCCUUAUCCCUUAUCCUAAUUCCAUCCUUGGCCCUCUCUAAUGCCGAAGCUGCCUUCAUUACCCGCCGCCAGCUUCUUGCCCUUCCAGAGAAUGGGGACCUCCCCGAUGACUUCGAGUUCGAUAUCAAGAUUGGCAUCCACUUCGCCAACCCUCACCUUCGUCGUGCCUACAUCGCCCUUCAAGCAUGGAAGCAUGCCAUAUAUUCAGACCCGCUCAACUUCACCAACAAUUGGGUUGGCCCUGAAGUCUGCACCUAUAAUGGCGUCUUUUGCUCUCAGGCUCUCGAUGAUCCAAAUGUCACUGUUGUCGCUGGUGUCGACCUCAAUGGUGCCGACAUAGCUGGCUAUCUUCCCGUCGAGCUUGGCCUCCUGACCGAUAUUGCGAUCUUCCAUAUUAACUCUAAUCGCUUCUGCGGCAUCAUUCCCAAGAGCUUCUCCCGUCUCACUCUCCUCCACGAGCUUGAUGUCAGUAAUAAUCGCUUUGUUGGGUCCUUCCCAAUGGUUGUCAUCGGCUUGCCCAAUCUCAAAUACCUCGAUCUCCGGUUCAAUGACUUCGAGGGCCCCCUUCCACCUGAGCUCUUUGACAAGGAGCUUGAUGCCAUCUUCGUCAAUGACAACCGCUUCAACUCUCAUAUCCCUGAAAACUUUGGUAACUCAACAGCCUCUGUCAUCGUGCUUGCUAACAACAAACUUGGAGGGUGUGUUCCAACAAGUGUUGGAAGAAUGGGAGCUACUCUUAAUGAAAUGAUCUUGAUGAACAAUGCACUUGUUGGCUGCUUACCAUGGGAGAUUGGAUCAUUGGGCAAUGCAACAGUAUUUGAUGCUAGCUGGAACUCAUUAAUCGGAGUGCUGCCAAAAAACUUUGCUGGGUUGGUGAAAGUCGAAGAGUUGGAUUUGUCACAUAACAUACUCACUGGUGUCGUGUCAGAGAGUCUUUGCCGGCUACCAAGCCUCGUCAACUUCACAUUCUCGUAUAACUUUUUCAAGGGUGCGGCUGAGGAAUGCAUGUCAGGUUCGAGAUCAGAUACUGUAUUCGAUGACAUUAACAAUUGCCUUUUCAAGAGGCCAAAGCAAAAGUCGGCAAGGAUGUGUGCCCCCAUAGUAAAUCGUCCUGUGGAUUGUAGCCGAUCCAAGUGUAGAGCUUCUCCUGGCCCUUCGAAGCCAUCACCAUCUCGAAGCCCAGUGAAGUCGUCACCAUCUCCAAGGCCGGUGAAGCCAUCACCAUCUCCAAGGCCAAUGAAGCCAUCACCAUCUCCAAAGCCGGUGAAGCCAUCGCCAUCUCCAAAGCCAAUUACGCCAAUGCAUUCUCCUAUUAGCUCACCACCACCAGUUCAACCACGACCCUCACCAUCUCCGGUGUACUCUCCUCCAUCUCUGUCACCGAGUGACGCUCCUGCGACUCUAGUGAACUCUCCUUCCCCACCACUUUUGGUGCUUUCACCACCUCCACCACAUCAUAAGGAGGCUCCUGAUACACGUGUUCACUUACCACCAUCAGUUCAAUUUUCUCCACCUCCAACAACAAUAGGUUCACCACCGCCACAAGAGUUUUUCCAGUCUCCUCCAACACGAUCACCACCCUCUCCAGUGGUCCAAUCACCACCUUCUCAUAUCUUCUCUCCGCAUCCUCCAGCCUCCUCGCCACCUCUAAAGAGCUCACCACCCCCACUACUCAUCCAUUCUCCACCUCCUCCAGUCUAUUCACCACCACCUCCACCGAUCUUCUCACCGCCACCUCCAGUUUCCUCACCACCUCCACCAGUGGUCUAUUAUCCACCCCCUCCAGUCCACUCACCACCACCGCCGGUAGCAUCACCACCACCGUCGAUACACUCUCCCCCACCACGGGUGCACUCANNNNNNNNNNNNNNNNNNNNCCACCUCCAAUGGCUUCUCCACCACCAGUACUUAUUUUCUCUCCACCAGUCUCUUCACCACCACCUCCACUAGUCUUCUCACCACCCCCUUCAGUUUUCUCACCACCUCCACCAGUGGUCCAUUUUCCACCCCCUCUAGUCCACUCGCCACCACCACCGGUUGCAUCACCACCACCGCUGAUACACUCUCCCCCACCACCGGUGCACUCACCCCCACCUCCAGUGGCUUCCCCACCACCGGUACUUGUUUUCUCUCCACCUCCACCUCCACCUAUAUUCUCACCACCACCCCCAAUUUUAUCUCCUCCCACCCCCAUCAAUGUUCCACCACCUCAAGAUGACUUCAUCCUCGCACCUAUUGGUGGAACAAGCUAUGCAUCACCACCACCCCCCAUUUACCAAGGCUACAAUUAAAUCUAGUUAGUCCUUCAUUCUCCAAGAAAUACCCACCUCUCUUAGAAAAGUUUUAGAGGAAGCCCAUCUAUUUUCCAUAAUUUGCCAUGCUACAAAGAUGUACUUGUUUUUACUUUCUCAUAUGUGGUCUUGCAAAAGAGGGGCAUGAGAAGCAACAGCUUGUAAAUCUAUCUUAUGUUCAUUUAAAGGAUUUCUUUUUAAAAGUUUGUAUGUACUUUGGAAAAUAUAGGUGAUUAUGAAUUUGAUUGAUGUUUUAAGAGGAGGAUAUUUUUGAGUACAAGCUCUAAUAAACUUCUCUCUCUCUCUCUCUCUCUCUCAUACACACACACACACACAUACAUAUAUGUAUCGAUCUUCCCUUUAUAAUUACUUUAGAUAACCUUUACUUUGUCAUGUAUGCAUACAUAUUGUGUUUAAAUAAUGGAUCGAUGAUAAUAUAUAUACGAAAUUAUUAUACCUGAUAAGAGGCCAAUCAGAGCAAAUAUGGGGAUAGAAGCAAAUAGAAUGAGGCAAGCACUUUAAACAUGGCUAAGAUAACAAUAUGAUAUUGCUACCUUUAUUGCAUUAGUACGAAUUACUCAAAAGUUGUUAUAUAUGUUCCUUACCAAAAAAAAUGUUGUUAUGUUCUUGGCAAAAUUCAAAUGUUAUGUUCUUGGCAAAAUUCAAAUGUUGUUAUGUUAUAUAUGUUCCUUACCAAGAAGUUACUUUUCUAGAAUUGUUGCAAAAACACAUUUAAGAUCAAAGUCAACAAGUGUCAGCUAAUACCCAGUUAGUGGAGAUUUCAUCUCAAUGGGCAUCAAAAAUUAACCACUUAUAAUCACAAUUUGUCUUAAGAACCUUUGGUUGAAUGUGCAUGGACAUUGAGCACAACAUAAUUAAAGAAUCCAUGAUGAUGAUUUUCAUUUAUUAAAUGCAAUAUCCCAUUCAUGAUAAGCCCCAAAUUGAAAGCUUCAAUCUGAUCUUUCUCCAAGGCAACCAAGAAGAUUCAUGAUCCAAUCUCCUGUGACAUGGAAAGAGAUCCACAUAAGAUUCUCUUGCCAAUUCCAACAUAUUGGUUUCAAAGCCAUUUUAUAUACAUAUGAAUGUAUGAUCAAAUGAAAAGUAACUUCAUUGAUCAUCAAAUGAAUGGUGACUAUCAUCAAUAUUUAGCCCUUUGAUGAACAAAAUCUAGCAUGUAGACUAUCUUCUUGUAUAAAGUAAUAUGUUAACUUAAAGCAUCUACAAUACUUCCUCUUUGAUGAUGUCCUUUAGAAGCAUAAAUAGAUGCAAGUUUUGUCAAAUUUUCAAUCUGUGUUGCACCAAGAACCUUUCUUUUAUAUCAUCAUCAAAUAUUGCAAACUACGUUUCCAAAGUUACAACCAUUUCUAGUAGCCAAGGAUCACGCUUUUCAACUCCAUAAGUAGAGGUGAACGAGGUAGUUCCCUCCCUACAAACAUGUGAAUGUCGUAUUGGUUUAAGGGAGCCGAUCAUAGUUCCUUUGUUGAUCACACUUUUCUUUUUCUUAUGCAUAACAAUCAUAUUUGCAAUGCAAACCCCCCACCCACAAAAAAAAAAAAACCAUAUUUGCUAGUAUUACAUGUAGGUGGUAGAUUCUUGUAGAUGUUCACUCUAUGAUGUUCCUAUCCAUUUAGUUUUGAAACUAUAUAUCUUUUUUCUUUUUUUUUAGGUAAAAAAACUAUAUACAUCUUUGAUACAUAAAGUUUCACAGAAUUGCUUGCCUAUGCAAUUUUAUGAAGUACCUUAAGAGGAAGACAUGGAUGAGAGGGUCAUGCAUAGAUGUAUAAGGAAGGAUUUCUAAAAGAAAGGAAAUAAAAAUAUUUCCACCUUGAUCUAUAAAAAGUGAGCCCUCCUUUGAUGCCUUUAACACGAGGAUGGUCUUGAAGGCCCCCAACUUAUUGCAUCAUUUGGUCCAAGGUAACUCCAAUGCAUCACAAUAAAUAACUAUUUCAUAUAAUAUAUCAUAUAUUGUGUUAUAAAUGGAUCCAAUAAUAAUCUUUUAGCUUGACUUCAAUUCAUAAAUAUUUCUUUUCAAUCCUGUUUUCAGAUUUUAUAAGAGUACACGUACCAACAACCUCCUAAAAACUACCACCACCUUGCUACAAGCUUAUUUUUCUCUAUCAUAGUAAAGUUACCUGAUUCAUAACCUACCAAUUUAACUAUCAUUCAUGGUCCGUGUGAAGGAUUUUAAAUAGAUUGCGACGAAAUGUAACAUUAGUCAAAUAUGAUUAAAUUUUUCGAUGUUAGAUUUUCCUUGAUAUACUUAUAAUGAUUGAGCCAAUAAAUUAUAGAAGUGCUGGGGGCUACAGUUGUACGUACUUCCAAUAAUAAUAUUAUUAUCUUCCAGCUAAUGACAUGAAAAUUUGUGUAACAUCUGCACUAUUAAAACCUCAACUGAGUUGCGAACAACGUUUAUUUUUGAAGAACCAUGAUGUAGGAUAUAGCCAGUCCAAAAUAGUGGGGAGGGCCAAGGUUAAAACCAUGUCGCUCAUAUCUAUUAUUUACUAUAUAGUGACUUUGCCAACUCAAACAGAUGACAUACUUCCCAAUCAUUUCACAAACUUUUAUCCUGGUCUGAAUCAAGUCCUACGAAGCUAGUUAACCAUAGAGAACUUUAUGUACUAAAAAAAAUAAAAAUACUAGGCGUUCCAGCUGGACUUAGUUGAUCAACAUGAUGCUCAAUGGAUGAAAUGUUUUGGGAUCUGUCUAGACUAGCAAUUUUUUUUUUUUUGAGUUAAUUUUUUUCUUUUUUUGUUGAUUCGCUGAGCGACUGUAAGAUUGGUUGGACUUUGAUAUCCCAUCUUUUUGCCCUUCUUCUUUUCCUCUUCUUUUUUUCUUCUCUCUUCUUUUUUUUUUCUGACUUUUUUUCUUGACUUAAGUUUCACUAUUUUGCUAAAAAAUAUAUAAGUAUUGUUCCGUUAAUUUUUGAAAAUAAACUUUAAAUAUUGAGAGGGAUUUUAUUAUAAUGAUAGAUUGAAUGUAGAAACAAAUGAAGAUAGCUGUUAUGCAGCUAUUUGCAUGACUUCAGAGAGUAAUGUAUUUCUAUAAAUAUUAGAUAUAUCUAUUACGAGAUAAAUAAUAUUAUGAAUUGGAUUAUCAUUUUUGUAGCAGAGCAUUCAAUAAGAAUUUUGUGAACUGAUGUUUUGGUUGUGCUGAUCUGUGGUAUCCUCAUUUAUCAAGUUUUUUUGAUUAUAUUUAUAUUAGUUUUGUAUGGAUGCUCUCUAAAAAUUUUUUUUAACAAUAGAGGAGAUUGUAUAUUUAUUUAUGGCCGCUAAAAAAAUGCCACGUGUCCCAAUCGUAUAAUUCCCUGCAACGUAGCUUGCAGUCGAUUGCGACUCCUCCCGUUUCCUCUUUUUGUUCAUGGGGUUUGGGCAUGGGACCGAAGGUGGGGCGAUGGAAGAAGACGACACCGAGAUCCAGCGACGCGUGCUCGAAGAAGCUUUCGGAGAAUCUUCGGACGACGAUGGUCCAGCCUGUUCGGCCGCGGAUCCCUCCCUCUCGGUUCGUGGAUCCUUCCCCCUCUCGCUUCUCCCCCUCUCCGCCCCUAUUUUUCCCUUUCUUCUUGUUGAACUCGAUCCAUAAAUGCCACAGAGACAGCCUAUUUGGGAAUCGGUGGCUGGUAUCAAGGGUUUGUGGCUGUGCCGGGACUUCCUUUGGAUAAAGCAGCAAUCUUUGCUUCUAUCGGCGAUUGAACGAGGUGGAACUCUCGUUAAUAGCCUUCUUUUUCCCUCAAUAUUCCACUGUUUUGUUUGUUUAGCCCUAUUGUUGAAUUCUGACUAAUGAAUAAUAAAAGAAGAAUUUUGAAGCCAAGAUUGUAGCAUUAAUUUUAAAAGUUCUUCAUUUUUUUUUUUCUAAUCUCUGAAAUAUCUCCAUGUUCUUCUUUUUUGAUGUUGCAGAAGGAUGGUUCUCAGAUAAUUCUCAUAAUCAGGUGCUGUUUAUCAUUCAUUUAAUUAAUUGACUUUUACUUCAGUGUUAGCAAUGUCUUGGUAGAAAAUUCUGCGAUUGUUAUUUCUCUUAUUUGGAUUAUUGUGGAUACGUGUGACAAUAAUGUAACUAAUAAGCAUUAUCCGAACUCUUCGGCGUUGGUAUUUACUCUCCGAGUUCUUCUUAUCAAGGGAGAUCUUUGAGCUUUCAUUUAUGUUAGUUGCAGUCUUCCUCUCCCUUAUCUGAACCCUCUGGCAAUUUGAGUGCCUUUCCAAUAGGGGCCUCCUCUGGUCAUCUUUGUUGUACAUGACUGUAUCAUCUUAAUGAGUUCAUCAAUUUGUCCUUAACUAGUACAAUUUCUAUGCUACAUUUACAUUUUUCCAAGUUAUUCGUCCACUUGUUUUUGUUUCUUCUACUCACAUGCAUACAUUAACAUGUAUAGGGUAUUAAAGAAUUGCUUGUCGCUGUCGCUGCCACUGAUCACCAAGAGUUAGCUGGUCUUUCUUCUUGAUGGCAUUCGUGCAGUGUUAUGUUGCUCUCCACUUUCUGCUGUUGGUGGUUUACGAAUUUAUGUUUUUGGUGACUAUCUCUACAAUCUGGGGCUUCUUUUUCUUUUGCUUAAAGUAACAUGGUUGAUGUGGACUUUAACUGUGAAAAAUAGCGAUAGAAUGUGGAAGUAAAUUUGAGAAUUCCCUAGGAUACAAUGACAUUGAGAAAGAGAGAGAGGGAGUUUGUGAGAAGAAUUCAUUUUGGAGCUUUUUCUUAAUUGAUGCAUUAAUAGGCCAUUUAUUUGCAUCCAGACUACUUUUCUGGCCAAUACUUUGUUGGUUUUUCUGCCAUUCGGUUCUAUGCUUGGUUUAGCUCUUUCUGUAUACUGGUUUCCUUCACCCAAGUGUUUAGCAUUGCAGUACUUUGGCACCUGCUGGUCAUUGUGUCAGUGUCUAUACUUUGGUAUUCAACUGGACGAUGCUGGUGAUGAGUACAAAUGCUUCUUAUUACGAAGAUUUAUAUUUCCAAAGUCCUGAUCGAUACUUGUUGCUCUUUAUCCCAAAAUGAGCCUUCAGUUUAGGGAUCUUUAGGGACCACCAUCAUACCGAGUAGUUUGUAGGGAAGACAUACUUCAACCAUGCCCUAAAUAGCAAGGUUUUUUUUUUUAAAAAAAUUGUAGCACUACUUUGAGAUGUCACACACACACACACAUAUAUAUUCUCUGUCAUAAUUCUUUUGUAGGCUAUGACAGAGAGAGAGAGAGAGAUUCUCUUUCUUAAAAGAAGAGAUUUGGGGACCUUCCAGAAUGGGCGACUGAACUUACUAGAUUAGUUCGUGAAACACAUGCACGUGCGCACACAUAUAUAUAAUAUAUAUCUUGCUCUAAAUUAAUUUUAAAGAUCAUCAUAAUCUUGUCAGGGGCAUAAUGUAGUUAAAGUCAGUCAUAUAACUAAUCAAUGGACUGUGAUUGCUCGAUCUGUAUAAGUUCUCCCUUGUAAAUCUAACUUCUCUGCCUUAUAAUUCUUUUAUAGGCUAUGAGAUUUGGGGACCUUCCAGAAUGGGCAACUGAACUUGCUAGAUUAGUUCGUGAAGCAGCUUGCUUUGGUGAAGUAUCUUUUGAGGCUAGCAGAGGGUCAAAUUCUGAAGAUCAGGAUGCUGAAGAAACUUGUCCUCUGCCAUUAAAUUUGUUGUGGAGAGAACCACUUUUUGAUCAACUUAUUGCAAAUGUGUAUGAACCAGGUGAGGUGCGGCCAUAUUUCCUUUCUACUUACACUCUUUUCGUGUGUUACUUUCCAUUGUUUGUUUCUCUAAAUAAUCCUUUGAUAAUGACGUUUUGCCGUUCUCUGAGUAUGCUUUGUACUUUUAUCUUUCAGAGUUCAUGAGUUAUCAUCUUGUUGUCUACUUAACUAUGAUGAUUUAUGUGUCCAUAUUUCUUCUUCCAGGGUGAGGAUAUGUUAUAUUGUUCUGGCUUAUUGCUACUUUUCUCUGCAGCCUAAUGUAUCUCUUUAAGGAAGUGCUUGUUUAUUCAUGCAUGAAUUUCUUGUAUAUAUAUUAUAUUUAGUUAACUUAUCCAGCAUCAGCCCUUAUGACUGGUCUUCUUGCAGAUUUCAAAAUUUUCUGUUACACCUGACAUUCUAAUUUUAGAUGAUAUGAAUUUUGCUCCUAUUCCUUUUUCCCUGAUCACCUUUUGUUUCCAAACCAACCUUCACAAAGUCCAUGUAGAUCCCUCAACUGGGACAUUUUCUUGAACUUACCGUUAGCACUCCAUGAAGGCAAGUGCUGCAUGUGUUUCAUUCAGAUGCUAUUACAUCUUUAGUGUUUGUGCAUGUGAUAUUUUAAGCCCUCCAGUAUAAUAACUUCUGCCAUGCUCCAGAAUUUUACCAUGCAUUUGAUUCGCACCUGGAAUUGGAAUCAGGAUGGAUUGGAAUGAUGAUAUCCCUUGGUAUGUUUGAUUCAUGACCAGAAUCGGAAUCGCAAUGGGAUUUGAAUAUUAGGAAAGUGUAAAGAUUGGAUAUUGGGGGAUUGAGGCAUUCCCAUUUCCUCCAAAAGCAAAAUGGGAAUGGGACUCAACCGAAUAGCUGGAAUGUGAGUCAUGCAUUCUCAUUCCUAUUCCAAUUCUAAAGUUCAACUCCCCCCAACCAACAUGCCAUAAAAUCAGUCUAAGGAACAUUUUCCUGUCGCAUUAAUCAGUCCAUGGUCCCCAUAAACCCGACUUUAAGGACCUCAAGGAGACCAAGCUAACAGCCGCUAAAAGGUUCACAUCUAGGAUGAAAAAGCAACUAAAGUUUUCAUUGGAGAGUCUCAUGGUGAUCUUCUGUGAAAUAUAGUGUGUACAGUAAAUUUGUAUGUCAUGUCACUUGAGGGACAGAGCUAUCCUUGAUCAAAAACAUUGCAGAUAUUCUACAGUUUUUCUUUAUGCCUGUUGAUCCUAAAGUUAGUCCAGUGCACGGCAUGAUCGACCUGGAAUAUCUUUGUUGAUGUAUGUGCAUGAUAGCUUGAAAAGCAGAUAAAAAAAGAUGAACAUAUUUUUUUUCGCAUACCUUGAAAUUAUCAUCCUGACAUGAUUUACAAGAACUGGACUUGAUUCACAUCUCGUUAAGGUUAUGUGCAAAAGAUUAAGAAGUCCAGACGAGAAGGUUGUGUUAACCUUGUCCAUCCUCUUAUAAUUGCAGAAGUUGGUUCUUAAUUUUUAUUGUUCUUUCUGAUAAGGAUGCUUUUUGUUGUUCACUUCAUCUCAACAAGUCCAUCUCAUUGUAUCUUAUGAUCGAAGGAAAUAGCGAGUUCCCUUUCCUUUUGUUUUCAUUCAAUUUCCACUGGUGGGCAUUUGAUCCUUUUCAUUUAUGCAGGGAAUUUGUGCGCAUGUGGAUUUGAUGCGCUUUGAGGAUGGAAUUGCCAUUGUUUCCUUAGAAUCUGCUUGUGUGAUGCAUUUUACACAAUGUAAAGGGGGAGAUGGUAAUGCUGAGCUUCAAGGGGAAGAGACUUCUUCAAUGAGGAUUCCCAUCUUAUUAAGUCCAGGCUCCUUAGUUCUUAUGUCUGGGGAAGCACGUUAUCUUUGGAAGCAUGAGAUAAACCGCAAACCAGGGUAUCAGUUGUGGGAAGGGAAAGAAAUUCAUCAGAAGAGGAGGACUUCCGUAACUCUAAGAAAGCUCUGCAAAUCACCCAACUAAAGCUAAUGGAAGGACAUCUAUCUGUUAGUUUCUUUCACCUAUCCAUUUGAUUUUAACCUGGAUUCCAGGUUCAAACGCUUUAGAUUACUGUAAAUGAGCGGCGCAAAUCGCAGCUUUAGCCUUGGUUUUCAGUGUCUGUACAAUGAAUGGCAGCUUCAGUUGUGGGAAGGGAGUGAAGACACUGUUGCAGCGGUUGCAAAUGCCACCAGUUUCAAGUUGUCACAAAAAGGAACGUUCUAUUGCAAGCAAAUCAAAGUGGUUGGUUUCUUGAAACUCUGGUGAUCUGUUAAUUUGAGGGUCACAUCUUAAAUUUGCUCCAGUCUUAUUAUCAAAUUCCUUGGGAAUUAAAUGGCGUAUUUAGCUAGCUAGCCACCUUGCUUGCUUGUUUGACUUAUAUUUACACUCUUUUUUUUGGAUCAAUCCCAUUGUACAAGUUUAAUAGGAUACAAACAACACAAAAAUAGCAUGCAAAUGUAUUUGAAAUCUUUCCUUCCCUCAAAGAAAAAAAAAGAAAAAAAAGAAUAUUUCCAAAUUUGGCUGCUAAAACCUUGCCAAGAAUCGCUGGUUGCCAGUGGUAUUCCCAUGGUUUAAGUUAACGUAGAUGAAUUGUUGCUUACUCUUAAGUGAUUGAUCAUAAGAAACGAUGCCCAGGGUAGAUUGCAAGGUAUUUGGAACAAGAUAUCUUCAAAACGCUCUGAGGCGUCCACUAUUUGGUUAAUGCAAGGUGUUUGUUUUCAGCAAGCUUUGGGUUGCUCCGGGACUCGCUCGUAUGAGCUCUCUGUUGGAAGAUGUAUUUAAGGCAGAUUUUUGUGAGCGAUCAUGCAAGUACUCAAAAGUGUAUCAGCUUUGAGAGAUGAUGGUUGAUGUCUACCUAUAAAGAAAAUAAAGAUCGGAAAUAAAAUGACAAAUAAAAUGAGAGGAGGUACAGAAGUAAUUACCACUUGGGUUUCCCAACCAAGGCUUUUGGUUCUAUCUAUUCUCUUUCAAUGAUACAAGGAUAGAUCUAUGCUAGUUUUACACAAAGGACUUUCUUUGCUGAUAAUGUGUGAGGAUGUUCGGCACCAUGGUCCAGCUUUACCUAGAUUCAUCCUAAUCUGCUUCUAAUUAGAUGCCAAAGAGCCAGAACUCUGAAUACAAUAUAUUGCCUCCUCUCUCUCUCUCUCUCUCUAGGGGGGGGGAAAGGAACAGAAAUCUGCUUCUCAUUUGAUAGGCCAAAGCAGAUCUCCUUCAGAUUUGGGCAUGGUAAGAAGGGCCAAACCAUAAUUUUGGACCCUUUUUUUUAAAAAUUUUUUUUAAUAACUAAGUUGAGGUGGACCCUAUUUCGCCUGAGGUACAUACCCACCCUUAUUAAAACAUGAGCCUACACUUUGGGGCCAUGUUAAUAUGGUCUCAAACAAAAUAACCAUUCAAGAAAAAUUAAUAAGGAUCAACUAUUCAAACUUUAGACAUUGGCUAAUGGCUAAAAGCUGUCCACAACAUCACAUGCCUUUCAAGACAAGUUUUGGUGCACAUUAUAGGUUUCCUAAUUAUAAUUAAAAAAAGGAAAUGAGCAGAUCCAGAACCUUAGAUACAUCUUAAUAAGCUAUGAAAACUAUGUAUAAAAGAUCCAGCAAAUAGCGUACACAGAGCCAAACUUCACACAAGCGUGUAGUUGAACAAUGCAAGGAAGGAAACCCAGGCGAGGCAUGGCUUCACGAGGUCGCCGGCGAUGGGAUUCACCCGGUGGAAGCUCUGAGAGCAAGCGAAGAGGGCGCCAAAGAGGGUGAUGCAGACCACCAGGGCCACCCGGGUGGCGCCGAGCCGGAAAACCAGAGGGCCCCAGGCCAGGCCCAAUAAUAACUGCGUCAGGAAGAGGGGCAGGGUGGUGGGUUGGGAGUGGAAGCCGCCCUCGGCCCACACGAGCCAGGCCGAGAGGCCCAUGAGGCAGGAGGUGGAGAUGGAGGCCAGGUGGAAGGCCCAGACUGGGGGGUGCCAGAAGGCCUUCGAGACGGCGGUGGUGGUGGCGGUGCCAGAGGCGGAGGCCGAUAAGGUGGUGAGGACGAAAGGUAUGGCAAUGGCGACAGCCAGGGAGCGGAGGCCUUGCUUGGCAAUGGCCAUCUUUUGGGCCUUUCUAUUCUUGGUGGUGGUGGUGGAAGGGGUGGAGGUAGUGGCGGCGGGCUCAUCCCUGGGGCGGUGUGUGAGGUUCUGGGAGGCCAUGGGAGGGAGGGUGAAAAGGAGAGAAGGGGAAGUGGGAGAAGGGGUCAUGGGGACCAUGUUAUAAAGAAGCUGGUUUUACUCUGGGGGUGACAGGUGUGAGGGCGUGGGACGGUGAAGGGUGGCACGUGUAAGGAUGGUUGCCAACGAGGCAUGGAUGGAUUUGGUCCAACUCUCUGAGAUAGCGAUAAGGGUUAGCAGCCAUCCCCCAUCGUCUGGAAGGUUCUCUUUUUCGAGUUAAAGACAUGCUGGUGAAAAAUGAACAGGGUUCAUCUACGUCUUAUCAGGGAAUAUUAUAAACCUAAGCUAUGGCAAAUGAUCACCCGAUCAGUUCGUCUAUUAUUACACAUGGCGGAAACGUGUCAUGCAAAGUGAUUCCCUGACGUGACACUAGGAAUAGAAUUAGAUGCUUGUCGUGCCAUUAGUUCGUAUACAAUUAUGAGACUUCUAAGUUGCAGGGACGACAUGUGGGUGAGAGGGAAAGCCAAGGAGUGCCCUUGGAGUUGCACAUUAUAGAUGUGUAAGGGUUCACCAAUUUUUUUGAUAAAUCAGACAAAAUAAAUCAAAUAAAAAUAAAUAUAUCCAUCUUAUUCUAAACAUACAAAAAAAAUAUUUUUAUUUUUAAUAAAAUUAUGAUAUUUUAUGUCUAUAUUAUGACAUCUUGCAUCCAGAAAGUUAUAAUUUUUGUCUACAGGAUAUCAUAAUAUAAUGCAGGAUGCCAUACUAUGUACGGAAUAUUAUAAUUUUUUUUAAAAAUAAAAUAUUUUCAUCAUUUAAAAUUUUUAAAUUAAAAAAUCGAUCUGCAGGCAUUAAAUAUGCGUUGGAAAGUGGUCAGACAAAAAUAUCCCUUCUAUAUUAUGAUAUCCUGAACCAUAUUAUGAUAUUCUGGAUUAUAAUACGUCACAAAAUGUCAUAAUUUUUUCAAAAAAUAGAGAUAUUUUCAUCAUAUAAAAUUUUUAAACGAAAAAACCAAUGUACUGAUAUUAAAUGUGCAUCGGAAGGAGAUGAUUUUGUGGAUCAAUCGGACAAAAUAAUGCGCUCCAUGACAUAUUUUUUACACCGCCCGCAGUGCACAAAGAAUUCCUCUCUUUUAUAUGUUGUGGGAAGUCUAUCAAAAAAGUGGAGGAAAGUAAUGGAACUUUAUACACCAAAUAGCUUGUUUUUUUUUUGGUUUUUUCAUAAGGAGCAAAUAGCUUGUUUGAUGAUUGCUUAUGGAACAUAGGCAUAUAGCCAACUUAAUUAUGUAUAGUAAUUAAAAUAUGGAAAAUGUUCAGCAUCACAGUUCCGAAGGAUGCAAGGGGGGGUCAGAAGCAGUGGUUGAGGAGAGUGUCAUAUCGUCGUUUGCAAUGAACUCUGUCGAGAUCGGUUGAAGUCAACGCAUGCAGUGGCCAAGGAGGAAGACAGGUGCUGCCUUGGUUGAUGCAGGAAAAGAUCAAUCCCGACCUCGCCAUGGAACAUGGUCGAUAAACUCCCUGUUGCUAAGCAUGGCAGAUUUGAGAGGCACUGGAGUAGUCCAUGUAGCUAUUGUAGACCUUGCCAUGGCAGCCAGAGCCAAGGCAGAGCAUCUGCUGGUUUGGAGGCAUUGGGGAGCUCCUCUAGAGGAUCUCAAGCCUUGCAGAUAGUUCUCAAUAACAGGAUAGAUGGUUCAUUUAGAUCAAUGGUUGCAUACUACUUGAAAGUCUUGGUCUACAUGUAUCUUAAUGAAUAAUGGUUUUGAUCUUGGACAUUAAGUGGUGAGAACAAUGGAUCAUCACUUGUAUGGCCAUUGCAUUUGGCGGAAGAAAAAUGUGUCAUGGAAGAUUAAAGAAAUGCAUAUAUGAUUCUGGGUUCAUCACCACCAUUACAGUUGGAGCAAGUGUUUGUGACUAAUGUCAUGGGUUCCUGUUCUCCAGGAUGACCCAGUUCGGUUGUAUUAUACCACAACCAUGCAACAGAGGGCAAUCCUUAACUCAAAAUUAAGGAACUGUUGGCAGUUUCAUUCUUAAUUGUCAGCAGAUCAUAAAUUUAUGUUAAUCCUUCAGCCGAAAUCCUUCGACCGGCAGUUCUUUCUGCCUCAUAUUUCAAUCAUAUUGGCUGUCCGAUUGAGUGCUAAAUGGAGGCCUCCAAACUGGAUUUGAUCUGAAUCUGUUUUCAUAUCUGAAAUCCGAGACAUAAAAAUCAAUCGGGCCCCAAUGUAGACCUAAUGUCGAAUAAGGAUGUGCCCAGAUCUAAUAACAUCAAAGCUCAACAACUGCAGUAGUUCAGAAUUUUGGAUCUGAACUACUAGAUUUAAUAGUCUGAACCACCAGACUGCAAGCGUUGGGGUCCAAAAUCCACAUAAGCCGCAUGUGUGGUGAGCUUCUGAACAGAAUGGUUCAGCUGGUCUUCCAGUGUUAAAAUGCCUACUUGUGGCUUUCUACGACUCAGGGGAGGUGGUCCUGAGAGUGGGUUAUUAAGCUCUCCAAUGGCAAUGACAGUUGAUGGAACCAAAGAGUUUAUAUCUUUAUCUUCGCAGAAAUGCCAUUUCUUGGAAGGACCACAGACCCAAAAGACCACUCUGAUUAAUUGUCCCUCACCAUCUUCUGGACUUUUCUGUGGGUGGAUUCUCUUUCCUGUUCCUAGUUUAUUGGUAAUCAUAAAUAGCUGUCUAUUGGACAGCCAGGAAACCCUUAGCCAUCUCAGUCUUAUUCAAUGUCUAAAUUAAAAUGCCAGUUGCAAAUUUGCAAUGGCUGUCAUAACAAUUUUGAAGGCCUCCUAUUUGAUUAUAUAAAUUUAAAUAUAGAUAUGAUCAGAUUUGAGGGUAUAUUUGGUUGGGGGAAGUUGGGCUUUAAACUGGGAAUGGGAAUGAGUGACUGCCAUUCUCCCGAUUUGGUUGGGAGAAAGUCCCAUUCCCAUUUUAAUUUCAAGGAGAAUGAGAAAGCCCUAGUCCCUCAAAACCCAAUUCUUAUUUUGCCCUAGGAUUUAAAUUCCAUUCCGAUUUUGAUUCCGGCACAAACCAAACAUGUAGAGGGAUAUGACUAUUCCGAUUCCUAUUCCAAUUAAUUCAAAUUUUGAUCCCAAUUCUGAUCAUGAACCAAACAUGUCCUAAAUGGAGAUCCAUUCAACCGUAGCCAAGCCUAGCUCUCUCUCUCUCUCUCUCUAUAUAUAUAUAUAUAGAGAGAGAGAGAGAGAUCUCAAAGCUCUGGGGGAGCUUAGGGAAGAAAAAAGGUGAACGGUGGCUUAAGCAAAUGACACCAUUUUUUUGUUAUGAAAGCUUAUAUCCUGUUGUGAUCAACAAGGGUCUUCGUGACAGACGAUAUUUUAUUUUCAAAUGACACAAUCCAGGCUGAGUUGGGUAAAUAAUGGCAACGGUUUUAAAAUGGGGCUGUUAUAUGGGGAAAUAUGCAACCGUGUAUUAUUAAAACCUUGUUUGAUUCCAGUGUUCAACUCCUAGAAAGAGGCAUGUGGGACUUGUUCUUUAGGUUGAGUGAAAGCAUUAGAGCCCCAAAGGAGCAUCAUUAUAUAGUGGAAUGAUAGCCUUCCACCCUUCUUCAUAUGAAACUUCCUGCUAUAAAGGUCCCAUAGCAAGUGGACAUUAUCUAAUCACAGAAGGUUGGUGUUCUAGGUUUGAAACAAUCCUACCUACGACGCAAGCUUUAAUUUUAAAUUACAGGAAAUCAAUGUCUCCAGUUGGCAAUGGUCAGUCUCGUUGGAAGACCGCGGUUACCAGAAGAAGAAGCAAUUUCGAGAAGCGAUCCAAGAAACACAAACAAGAAAUUUUUUUACUAAAUGUCAUUUUAGACUUAGUUUAUCUGAGAGUUCAUAUCUGUAGCAUUAAAUUUUUUUUAUUCAUUUUUAAUUUAUUAUCAAAUAGAAAAAGGAGGCAAGAUCUUCUUUUGAAAAGGAAAGGGUACAAGACUGGGAGACUAACUAAUGGAUUAGGAUUGCAUACUCCCCUUGUUGUGAUUCAAGGUAGAACUAAGGUAAUAAAGAUAGAAAAAUAGGAAGUCUAAUUGACCAAAAAGGUUUGAAUUAUAGGAAGUUGAAAAUGAUGUUUCGGCAACCACCAAGAAAAGAGGAAAUCUUAACAUGGAAAGGGCUUUGACAAUCUCAACCUCUAAUUACUCCAUGAUUUCCUGAGUGGUGUCUAGGUUCCCUAGCCCAUAUAAAACAUGACUUGUUACCAUCAUAGAUUAAAAAUCAUGAAUAAAACAAAUUAUGGAUAAAAAUCAAGAUUUUACACUUUAUUUAUUUAUUAUUCUUGAUUUCUUCAGUUAACUGGCAAUUAAAAUGUAAAUGAAUCAGCCUUUGUUUCCAUCUAUAUUUAACAUCAGGAAAGCAUGAUUUGCAAAAUUCAUGAUGAGAAAUAUUCAUCUAUUUAUUCAUAUUGAAACAAUAUGCGGGACUGGUUGACAAAAUCUAGAUGAGGAAUCAGGAAUCUACUAUGUUUUUUGAUCUCAAAAAGAUUCCUGACCUCCUAAGCUAUUUGGAACAAUGUUAUUUGAAACUACAUAUACAAUACUAAAAACAAGUAUUCUCUUAUACACCAUCAAAAUCUUCUAUAUUCCAAAUCCCAAUAUAAAUACUAUUUUCAUCUUUGACUGAUGCUUUUUUUUUUUUUGAUGUUACUUUGACUGAUACUUUGAAGCAAUCUCCAUGUCCAAACUAUUUCAGACAAUUUCCCCUCACUUACACAUUACCUUAAAAUAGAGGGCCAAUUUUUGGGAGCUCGAAGUUAUUGUUGUGUGGGUCAAACAUGUAAAAGCCCAACCUAAGUAAGAGAGAAGAGCAAAACCAUCAAAACUCAUACAUCACCUCUUUGGAGGAAGAGUUACCAAUUUAAGAGUCCUCUCUCUCUCUCUCUACUAAGUACGGCCCUACUAUAAUUCACCUUGCAUGUCUUAUGUCGCCCNNNNNNNNNNNNNNNNNNNNCUUGUGAGAGUACACUUAAGUAGUCUCCUCUCUCUCUCUCUCUAAUAGGGCCCCUACUAUAAUUCACCUUGCAUGUCUUAUGUGCCCAUUCUAUAAUUUCACCCAGCCCACCAAAUCAAAGCCGUUAGAACUCGGAUAAAAGUACUUUUCUUAUAGUUCAUACAACUAAGUUUUAGAUGCCCUCACUUUUUCUUUUUACACAUCCUUCUUUCACCUUCUUUCGGUCUCUAAUGGAAGUUAACUCAAAAUUCCUACUCCUCUCCUUUCUUCCUAACCUGUCCUUCUCCUUUCCCUUUCUUGAGCCAACUACCCAAAUCAAUAGCAACAGUACAACUCCCUUAGUUCAAUUCCAUUAGCACUUUGCCCCUUAAAUAAGCAUUUAUCCCCCCACCAAACUCACCACUUUGAUUCCAAUAAUUAAAGCUGCUUAAUUAUCAUUACAGACACCCACAUAAAGUAUAUAAUGAAAACUAGAAACACCCAAUCUAUACCAGAAAAUAACCCCAAUAAUAACUCUCUUUCUUUUUUUAUAAAAAACAGCAACCUGCAAGUAAGCUCAUAAGGAGAAUAAAUAAAAUGCUUUCUUUGCACAAUUCACAGAUAGAAUUAGUUAAAAACAGCAACGCAAGAACAGUAACAAUAAUAAAAGCACUCAUAUUUAACAAAAAUUCGUCAAUGAUGACCAAAAAGAGCUAAUUUAUACCCAAAAAAAUCUCCUUUUUUUUUGUUGACACAAAUAACAUAGAGAACCACCAUACAACACCACCACAGCAGCUGCAGCAGCAGCAGCAACAGCAACAGUCGGUGCAUCGAUUACUCAACGGAAACACAUCAAACAUUAACAGGGGCGGCAAUAAAAAAAUCAGAUUUUUUUUUUUUUUAACACAGAUGACAUAUAAAACAUGUUUACAUAACAAUAAAACCACAACAACAACAAUAACAGCAACAAAUAAUUUAUAGUUUUGAAGGGAACAACAACAUCACAUACCAAAUUAAUAUCUCUCUCUCUCUUACUGGAAGAAUCGUUUCUUUUUAGAUAAGAAACAGAUGACAGGGGAGCUCGGAUGGGGUGGGCGAGAGAGAGAGAGAGCUAACUCCGGCAGCGGGUGAUGGCGGAGCAGCCGCGGGAGUAGGGGUUGGCCUGGGCGCCAGGGCGGCAGUUGUAGUAGGAGGCGCCACGGCGGGAGCAGGGGACGCUGUCGCGCUUGAGGGCGUUGUAGGAGAUGUAGUCGGAGGUCGCCAGGAUGCGGCGGGCCACCUCGGAACUCAGAUCGAACUCCUCCCCGGCGAGGCACUCCGCUAUGGUCCCCUGGCACGUCGACAUCCCCGGGAUCCAGCUCAGCGGCACGGCGCCAUCCCCUGCUCCGCCGCUGGAGUGGGCGGCUGUGGCGGCGGCAACGAGGAGGGAGAGAAGAAGGAAGGCAAGUCCCGCCAGUCUCGCCAUGGAGUGGUCGGCGCCGAAUGCCGAUGAUAUGUUUGCUUUAAUUCCUCUCCCUCCCUCCCCGCUCUCUCCUGGAAGAAGGAAAAAUAAGGCUUUUAUUUCCUCGUGGUAUCCCUCUCUCUCUUUCUCUGCGUCUGAGCUCUGAGCAAAAGCAAAGAGAGCGAGGGGA